rnacentral:rRNA from 1 species
GACGGUACUAGAGGAAUCAGCAUCGGCUAACUUCGUGCCAGCAGCCGCGGUAAUACGAGGGAUGCAAGCGUUAUCCGGAAUUAUUGGGCGUAAAGCGUUCGUAGGUGGCUAAGUCAGUCUGUUGUCAAAACGUGGAGCUUAACUCCAUAUCGGCAAUGGAAACUGCCUAGCUAGAGUAUGGUAGGGGUAACAGGAAUUCCCAGUGUAGCGGUGAAAUGCGUAGAUAUCGGGAAGAACACCAGUGGCGAAGGCGCUCUGCUGGGCCAUAACUGACGCUCAUGGACGAAAGCCAGGGGAGCGAAAGGGAUUAGAUACCCCUGUAGUCCUGGCCGUAAACGAUGAACACUAGGUGUCGGGGGAAUCGACCCCCUCGGUGUCGUAGCCAACGCGUUAAGUGUUCCGCCUGGGGAGUACGCACGCAAGUGUGAAACUCAAAGGAAUUGACGGGGGCCCGCACAAGCGGUGGAGUAUGUGGUUUAAUUCGAUGCAACGCGAAGAACCUUACCAGGGUUUGACAUCCUGCGAAUCCCUUGGAAACGAGGGAGUGCCUUCGGGAGCGCAGAGACAGGUGGUGCAUGGCUGUCGUCAGCUCGUGUCGUGAGAUGUUGGGUUAAGUCCCGCAACGAGCGCAACCCACGUCGUUAGUUGCCAGCAUUUAGUUGGGCACUCUAGCGAGACCGCCGGUGAUAAACCGGAGGAAGGUGUGGAUGACGUCAAGUCAUCAUGCCCCUUACAUCCUGGGCUACACACGUACUACAAUGCUACGGACAAAGGGCAGCAAACUCGCGAGAGCUAGCAAAUCCCAUAAACCGUGGCUCAGUUCAGAUCGUAGGCUGCAACUCGCCUACGUGAAGGAGGAAUCGCUAGUAAUCGCAGGUCAGCAUACUGCGGUGAAUACGUUCCCGGGCCUUGUACACACCGCCCGUCACACCAUGGAAGUUGGCCACGCCCGAAGCCGUUACUCCAACCCUUGUGGAGGAGGACGU